CUGUGCCAAGCAGCCGCGGUAAUUCCAGCUCCAAUAGCGUAUAUUAAAGUUGUUGCCGUUAAAAAGCUCGUAGUCGAACUUCGGCGCCUGAUGGCCGGUCCGCCUUCUUGGUGUGUACUUGCUCAUCGGGCGCUUACCUCCUGGUGAACUCUGAUGUCCUUUACUGGGUGUCAGAGCAAACCAGGACGUUUACUUUGAAAAAAUUAGAGUGUUCAAAGCAGGCCUACGCCCGAAUACAUCAGCAUGGAAUAAUAGAAUAGGACGCGCGUUCCCAUUUUGUUGGUUUCUGAGAUCGCCGUAAUGAUUAAUAGGGAUAGUUGGGGGCAUUUGUAUUCCGUCGUCAGAGGUGAAAUUCUUGGAUUGCCGGAAGACAAACUACUGCGAAAGCAUUUGCCAAGGAUGUUUUCAUUGAUCAAGAACGAAGGAAGGGGGAUCGAAAACGAUCAGAUACCGUUGUAGUCUCUUCUGUAAACUAUGCCAAUUGGGGAUUAGCACAGGAUUUUCAAUGACUGUGUUAGCACCCGAAGAGAAAUCUUUAAAUGAGGUUCGGGGGGGAGUAUGGUCGCAAGGCUGAAACUUAAAGGAAUUGACGGAAGGGCACCACCAGGUGUGGAGCCUGCGGCUUAAUUUGACUCAACACGGGGAAACUCACCAGGUCCAGACACAAUAAGGAUUGACAGAUUGAUAGCUCUUUCUUGAUCUUGUGGUUGGUGGUGCAUGGCCGUUCUUAGUUGGUGGAGUGAUUUGUCUGGUUAAUUCCGAUAACGAACGAGACCUUAACCUGCUAAAUAGACCAGUCGACUUUGGUUGACUGCUGUCUUCUUAGAGGGACUAUCAGCGUUUAGCUGAUGGAAGUUUGAGGCAAUAACAGGUCUGUGAUGCCC
rnacentral:rRNA from 1 species